UACAGAGGGUGCGAGCGUUGUCCGGAAUCACUGGGCGUAAAGGGCGCGUAGGUGGUGGCUUAAGCGUGCGGUGAAAGCUCGGGGCUCAACCCCGAGUCGGCCGUGCGAACUGGGCUCACUGGAGCAUAGUAGAGGCAGGUGGAAUUCCGGGUGUAGCGGUGGAAUGCGUAGAGAUCCGGAAGAACACCGGUGGCGAAGGCGGCCUGCUGGGCAGUUGCUGACACUGAGGCGCGACGAGCGUGGG
rnacentral:rRNA from 1 species